GGAUGUGAGGGCAAUCUGGCCGCGACAUCUGUUGCCCCAUUGAUCACCAGGGUUGAUUUGGCUGAUCUGGCUGGCUACGCAGGUGUCCCCUUUCUCCCUCACCGCUCCAUGUGUGUCCCUCCAAAAGCUGCACACUCGGUCAAAGAGGACAACCAACCUGGAGAGAGGAGGACUGUUCCUCGGUCAAGGGUAUAUGAGCAGCUGUGCUCCCCUGCUAGAACCUCCAAACAAGCUCUCAAAUCCAGGGCCUUGUGUAUGAUAGAGAAGUAUUCUCAGCCCUAGUAACAGUAGCAUACUCUUUUAAAAAAAAAAUUUAAAAACUUU
rnacentral:snRNA from 1 species